CGGCGGACGGGUGGGUAACGCGUGGGUAACCGUGCCUCAUACAGGGGAGUAACAGUUGGAAACGGCUGCUAAUACCGCAUAAGCGCACAGUACCGCAUGGUACGGUGUGAAAAACUCCGGUGGUAUGAGAUGGACCCGCGUCUGAUUAGGUAGUUGGUGGGGUAACGGCCUACCAAGCCGACGAUCAGUAGCCGACCUGAGAGGGUGACCGGCCACAUUGGGACUGAGACACGGCCCAA
rnacentral:rRNA from 1 species